rnacentral:rRNA from 1 species
UACGGAGGGGGCUAGCGUUGUUCGGAAUUACUGGGCGUAAAGCGCACGUAGGCGGCUUUGUAAGUUAGAGGUGAAAGCCCGGGGCUCAACUCCGGAACUGCCUUUAAGACUGCAUCGCUUGAAUCCAGGAGAGGUGAGUGGAAUUCCGAGUGUAGAGGUGAAAUUCGUAGAUAUUCGGAGGAACACCAGUGGCGAAGGCGGCUCACUGGCUCGACACUGACGCUGAGGUGCGAAAGCGUGGGGAGCAAACAGG